GUCAAUCUGGAAAUGUGGCUUUCAGAUAGCACUGUAAUAAUGCAAUAUCUUAGUAAUUUGAAGAAGUAAACGGUGGAAUUGAGCCCUGGGACUGAUAUGAAAUUAGAGGCUGCCAUCUGGUGUUUGGGUUAAAGAUAAGCUUCCGGUGGACCAACAGAUUGGCUGCCGGUGAAAUGUGGCUGUUGUGGGGUUGGAGGACGGUGUUUACAGACGGACACCCCUUUGACCUAGAUGAGGUCCUGCAGGAGCUGCACAAAAGGGACAAAGAGAGAGGUUUGCUCAUAGCAGAAGACAAGUCUAUGGUCAUGGCCAAACAAUGUUUUGCCUCCAUCUCGUGGCCACAUAGGGUAUUAAUUCACUACUGAAAUGAUUGAGAGCGGACAGCAGGAUUUGAACCAUCACAUUUACGGUUACUGGGCACUUAACUGUCUGAGCCAUUAAUAUCCAGACCUCUUGGCAGUGGUUCAUUGUAGGCUUCUGCUAACAUAGGCUGCAGUACUACUUGGCAAAGUAAAGGCCUAAUACCACAGAAUUACAUGGUCUCAGUGACUCAUUUACAUUUUAGCAGAUGCUCUUAUCCAGAGUGACUUACCGAAGCCAUUAGGGUUAAGUGCCUUGCUCAAGAGCACAUGGACAGAUUUGUCACCUGGGAUUCAAACGUGUGACCUUUCGGUAACUAAUAGGCUAUCUGCAACCCAGUAUAACACUUUGUCAAAUUUACACAGCUUAAUUUUCAACUUACUUUGUAUUAAACACAGGACAGUUACAGUGGGUCUACAGUUUAUCAAUACAAAAGGAAGGCAGUCUCACACAAUACAGUCAGCAACAUACAAGUGCC